rnacentral:rRNA from 1 species
GAUGAGCGCUGGCUACAGGCUUAACACAUGCCAGUCGAGGGGAAACGACGGGGAAGCUUGCUUCCCCGGGCGUCGACCGGCGCACGGGUGAGUAACGCGUAUCCAACCUGCCUCUGACUGAGGGAUAACCCGUCGAAAGUCGGCCUAAUACCUCAUGGCAUCGUCUGCGGGCAUCCAACGACGAUUAAAGAUUUCAUCGGUCAGGGAGGGGGAUGCGUCUGAUUAGCUUGUUGGCGGGGUAACGGCCCACCAAGGCUACGAUCAGUAGGGGUUCUGAGAGGAAGGUCCCCCACAUUGGAACUGAGACCCGGUCCAAACUCCUACGGGAGGCAGCAGUGAGGAAUAUUGGUCAAUGGGCGGGAGCCUGAACCAGCCAAGUAGCGUGCAGGAUGACGGCCCUAUGGGUUGUAAACUGCUUUUAGGCGGGGAUAAAGUGAGGGACGUGUCCUUCAUUGCAGGUACCGCAUGAAUAAGGACCGGCUAAUUCCGUG